AAGGCUGAGCUGUGAUGGGGAAGCUCCUUAUGGAGCGAAGUCUUUGAUUCCCCGCUGCCAAGAAAAGCUUCUAGCGAGAUAAAAGGUGCCUGUACCGCAAACCGACACAGGUAGGCGAGGAGAGAAUCCUAAGGUGUGCGAGAGAACUCUGGUUAAGGAACUCGGCAAAAUGACCCCGUAACUUCGGGAGAAGGGGUGCUUUCUUAACGGAAAGCCGCAGUGAAUAGGCCCAAGCGACUGUUUAGCAAAAACACAGCUCUCUGCGAAGCCGUAAGGCGAAGUAUAGGGGGUGACACCUGCCCGGUGCUGGAAGGUUAAGGAGAGGGGUUAGCGUAAGCGAAGCUCUGAACUGAAGCCCCAGUAAACGGCGGCCGUAACUAUAACGGUCCUAAGGUAGCGAAAUUCCUUGUCGGGUAAGUUCCGACCCGCACGAAAGGUGUAACGAUUUGGGCACUGUCUCAACCAGAGACUCGGUGAAAUUAUAGUACCUGUGAAGAUGCAGGUUACCCGCGACAGGACGGAAAGACCCCGUGGAGCUUUACUGUAGCCUGAUAUUGAAUUUUGGUACAGUUUGUACAGGAUAGGCGGGAGCCAUUGAAACCGGAGCGCUAGCUUCGGUGGAGGCGCUGGUGGGAUACCGCCCUGACUGUAUUGAAAUUCUAACCUACGGGUCUUAUCGACCCGGGAGACAGUGUCAGGUGGGCAGUUUGACUGGGGCGGUCGCCUCCUAAAGUGUAACGGAGGCGCCCAAAGGUUCCCUCAGAAUGGUUGGAAAUCAUUCGUAGAGUGCAAAGGCAUAAGGGAGCUUGACUGCGAGACCUACAAGUCGAGCAGGGACGAAAGUCGGGCUUAGUGAUCCGGUGGUUCCGCAUGGAAGGGCCAUCGCUCAACGGAUAAAAGCUACCCCGGGGAUAACAGGCUUAUCUCCCCCAAGAGUCCACAUCGACGGGGAGGUUUGGCACCUCGAUGUCGGCUCAUCGCAUCCUGGGGCUGUAGUCGGUCCCAAGGGUUGGGCUGUUCGCCCAUUAAAGCGGUACGCGAGCUGGGUUCAGAACGUCGUGAGACAGUUCGGUCCCUAUCCGUCGUGGGCGUAGGAAAUUUGAGAGGAGCUGUCCUUAGUACGAGAGGACCGGGAUGGACGCACCGCUGGUGUACCAGUUGUUCUGCCAAGGGCAUAGCUGGGUAGCUAUGUGCGGAAGGGAUAAGUGCUGAAAGCAUCUAAGCAUGAAGCCCCCCUCAAGAUGAGAUUUCCCAUAGCGUAAGCUAGUAAGAUCCCUGAAAGAUGAUCAGGUUGAUAGGUUCGAGGUGGAAGCAUGGUGACAUGUGGAGCUGACGAAUACU
rnacentral:rRNA from 1 species